rnacentral:rRNA from 1 species
ACUCCUACGGGAGGCAGCAGUGGGGAAUUUUGCGCAAUGGGCGAAAGCCUGACGCAGCAACGCCGCGUGAGUGAUGAAGGCUUUCGGGUCGUAAAGCUCUGUCGAGGGGAAAGAAGUGUAUUGUGGCUAAUAUCCACGAUACUUGACGGUACCCCUAAAGGAAGCACCGGCUAACUCCGUGCCAGCAGCCGCGGUAAUACGGGGGGUGCAAGCGUUGUUCGGAAUUAUUGGGCGUAAAGAGCGUGUAGGCGGUUUGUUUAGUCUGAUGUGAAAGCCCUGGGCUCAACCCAGGAAGUGCAUUGGAUACUGGCAGACUUGAAUACGGGAGAGGGUAGUGGAAUUCCUAGUGUAGGAGUGAAAUCCGUAGAUAUUAGGAGGAACACCGGUGGCGAAGGCGGCUGCCUGGACCGAUAUUGACGCUGAGACGCGAAAGCGUGGGUAGCAAACAGGAUUAGAUACCCUGGUAGUCCACGCCGUAAACGAUGAGAACUAGGUGUCGCGGGUAA